GAAAUGCGAUAAGUAGUGUGAAUUGCAGAAUUCAGUGAAUCAUCGAAUCUUUGAACGCACAUUGCGCCCUUUGGUAUUCCUUAGGGCAUGCCUGUUCGAGCGUCAUUUAAACCCUUCAAGCUCAGCUUGGUGUUGGGUGACUGUCCGCCGCUUCCGGGCGUGGACUCGCCCCAAAUCCAUUGGCGGCCGGUACGUAGGCUUCGAGCGCAGCAGAAACGCGAACUCGGGCCCGCGGUGUCGGCUCCCAGAAGCCAUCUCUUUUAAUUUGACCUCGGAUCAGGUAGGGAUACCCGCUGAACUUAAGC
rnacentral:misc_RNA from 1 species